rnacentral:rRNA from 1 species
CGCCAGUUUUGGCGGAGCCAUCCUUGGGAUACCACCCUUGUAGUACUGGGACUCUAACCAUAGGCCAUGAAUCUGGUCUUGGGACACUGUCAGGUGGGCAGUUUGACUGGGGCGGUCGCCUCCCAAAAGGUAACGGAGGCGCUCAAAGGUUCUCUCAGUACGGUCGGAAAUCGUACGUAGAGUGUAAAGGCAAAAGAGAGCUUGAUUGCAAGACAUACAGGUCGAGCAAGGCUGAAAAUCGGACUUAGUGAUCCGGUGGUUCUGCGUGGAAGGGCCAUCGCUCAACGGAUAAAAGCUACCCUGGGGAUAACAGGCUUAUCUCCCCCAAGAGUCCACAUCGACGGGGAGGUUUGGCACCU